CACGGCGCAGUUGCUACUCAGACACGGGGAUGCUCGCAAUGCCUCUAUCAAAGACGCGUCGCACUGUGUUGUUAUGUGUGUUGUCAUAAUUAUUUCAUUGAAAAAUUAAUUUCGCCGUUUCCGAAACACUCACCGAUUUCUGUCUGUGAAACACAAAGUCUGAACAACUCCUCUUAAGUUUUGCCGAAAGGACUUAAAUAAUUUAGAGAAGCUAAAACACACUUUCGAGCGAUCCUGAUUUCGAAAUUACGACGAUUAAGAAGACGACGAUUAAGAAGAAAAAGGAAAAAA